rnacentral:rRNA from 2 species
AAAUUGAAGAGUUUGAUCAUGGCUCAGAUUGAACGCUGGCGGCAGGCCUAACACAUGCAAGUCGAACGGUAACAGGAAGCAGCUUGCUGCUUUGCUGACGAGUGGCGGACGGGUGAGUAAUGUCUGGGAAACUGCCUGAUGGAGGGGGAUAACUACUGGAAACGGUGGCUAAUACCGCAUAACGUCGCAAGACCAAAGAGGGGGACCUUCGGGCCUCUUGCCAUCAGAUGUGCCCAGAUGGGAUUAGCUUGUUGGUGGGGUAACGGCUCACCAAGGCGACGAUCCCUAGCUGGUCUGAGAGGAUGACCAGCCACACUGGAACUGAGACACGGUCCAGACUCCUACGGGAGGCAGCAGUGGGGAAUAUUGCACAAUGGGCGCAAGCCUGAUGCAGCCAUGCCGCGUGUAUGAAGAAGGCCUUCGGGUUGUAAAGUACUUUCAGCGGGGAGGAAGGUG